UUCGGGGUAGAUCUCCCACCCUUUGUAUACUAUACCUUUGUUGCUUUGGCGGGCCGCCUAGCUACUGGCUUCGGCUGGUAAGUGCCCGCCAGAGGAUCCAAAACCCUGAAUUAUUAGUGUCGUCUGAGUAAAAUAUUUAAUAUUUAAAACUUUCAACAACGGAUCUCUUGGCUCUGGCAUCGAUGAAGAACGCAGCGAAAUGCGAUAAGUAAUGUGAAUUGCAGAAUUCAGUGAAUCAUCGAAUCUUUGAACGCACAUUGCGCCCCUUGGUAUUCCGAGGGGCAUGCCUAUUCGAGCGUCAUUAUCACCCCUCAAGCCUAGCUUGGUGUUGAGGCCUGCUGUAAGGGCAGCCUCUAAAAUCAGUGGCAGUGCUGUCAGGCUCUAAGCGUAGUAAUUUCAUCGCUAUAGACACCUGGUGGACACUCGCCAGAACCCCCCCCAUUUUUUAAUGAUUGACCUCGGAUUAGGUAGGGAUACCCGCUGAACUUAAGCAUAUCAAUAA
rnacentral:rRNA from 1 species